CAUUUAAUAUGCUUGCUCUGUACUUGUUGUUAAGCCUUGGGCGGACAGGGAGGUGCUAUCCGUUCGGCGUCUGUUCGACGUAUCCGAACUGGCCAAAUAGGACCGAGCUCGGGGCAUGACAAAUAUCCUAACAUAUAAUAUUUUCGCUAUUUAACCUCCCAAUCUCCUUAUUCUUAUCCCAACCUAUGCAUUUGUCACUGCCUUCUAAGUAUUUUUUUUUAUUCCUUCCACAUCUCCUCUAUCAUGGUUUAUUGCACAUUUUCGUUGUCCUCGCUUGGUGCCGGCGCCGGCAUAUCGUUGUCAUCACCUUCACCGGCACAACUUAUACUCCUCGCCGGCACAACUUCGUUGUCACCUCGUCGUCCUCUACACAGCAUGUAUAUCGACGGAAGUCCACCAAUCAU
rnacentral:lncRNA from 1 species